ACGGAACGCAGCUGAGAGAGAGACUCCGCUCCUCCUUAUAUCCCCUUGGUCCACGGGCUAGAGUUUCAGUGACAGUUGAGCUGUUGUUCUGCUCGCCUUGCUCGACGCGGAACGAGUCCACCCCCCAGCUCCAGACCAACGAUCGCGGUGCCAGGACCGUCAGCCUUCCGUCCGUCGUGAAUCCGAGAAGGUCAACGACACCAUCCUAACCACCGACUAAUAGGUUCUGCAUUAAGAGAGCUUCGUUUCACCGGUUAAUCGGUUCGGUCCAGCGGAGUUCGUCCCUUCGUGCAUUCCAUCAGUUGAGGAGGUGCUGGUGGAGAAGGAGAGAGAGAUGGUGCGGCGGGUGCAGUCUGCCCGAGAGGACGAGCUCCACAAGAUGGCCAUCCUGCACGAGGAGAAGUAGGGGAGACACACACACACACACACACACACACACACACACACACACACACACACACACACACACACACACACACACACACACAAUAAGAGUGAAAGUGUUUCACUCUGACGUCUCUGAGAUCACGUAUUAAAGGCCUACGUGCAGGCUAACCGGAAGUUUUGAUUAAUGGGUACAUAAAGCACUCGAAAUAUGUAUAUCAUUCAUAAAAUGUCUUCAAAAUAG